AAGCUGCCCCUGUUUGCGAAGCUGGUGCAGUCCGUGUGCCAUGACCCCGCGGCCCAGGUGAGGAGGGCAGUGCUGCAUUUCAUUGGGGAGCUGCUGCGCUCCAGUGCCCCAGGCUGCUCGGCGUGGGACGUGGUGGGGCACCUCUUCAGCGAGUUCAGCCGGGCCUCGGGCAGACUGGCAAUGGGAAACCUUAGCAUGGUGGAAGCGCGGGAAGAAAGGGCUGUUCAGAGCCUGUGCGCCCACGUGCUGGGCACGCUGGAUGUCU